rnacentral:rRNA from 1 species
AUUCCAGCUCCAAUAGCGUAUAUUAAAGUUGUUGCAGUUAAAAAGCUCGUAGUUGGACUUCUGGCAGGGCGCCGCGUGCCACAGUAGUGCGCACAAGGGCCCGGCCAUCCUUCUGUAAACGUCGGGGAAGUUUAUUCGUCCGCGGCGGGAUCAGUUAAUUUACCUUGAGAAAAUUAGAGUGUUUCAGGCAGGCGUAGCCGGAAUACAUUAGCAUGGAAUAAUGGAAUAGGACUUAGUCUCUUUGUUGGUUCGAGGGACUGGAGUAAUGAUUAAUAGGGAUAGUUGGGGGCAUUAGUAUUUAUUAGCUAGAGGUGGAAUUCUCUAAUUUGAUAAAGACUAACUUAUGCGAAAGCAUUUGCCAAGGAUGUUUUCAUUG